rnacentral:misc_RNA from 1 species
GAAAUGCGAUAAGUAGUGUGAAUUGCAGAAUUCAGUGAAUCAUCGAAUCUUUGAACGCACAUUGCGCCCCUUGGUAUUCCAUGGGGCAUGCCUGUUCGAGCGUCAUUUGUACCCUCAAGCUCUGCUUGGUGUUGGGUGUUUGUCCCGUCUCCGCGCGUGACUCGCCCCAAAGUGAUUGGCAGCCGGCGUACUGGUCCCGGAGCGCAGCACAUGUCGCGCAAACGAGUGCCUUGGUACGGCGGCGUCCAUAAGCCCCUCUCUCACGCUCUUGACCUCGGAUCAGGUAGGGAUACCCGCUGAACUUAAGC